AAAUUAGCGGAUGACCUGUGGCUGGGGGUGAAAGGCCAAUCAAACCGGGAGAUAGCUGGUUCUCCCCGAAAGCUAUUUAGGUAGCGCCUCGUGAAUUCAUCUCCGGGGGUAGAGCACUGUUUCGGCUAGGGGGCCAUCCCGGCUUACCAACCCGAUGCAAACUGCGAAUACCGGAGAAUGUUAUCACGGGAGACACACGGCGGGUGCUAACGUCCGUCGUGAAGAGGGAAACAACCCAGACCGCCAGCUAAGGUCCCAAAGUCAUGGUUAAGUGGGAAACGAUGUGGGAAGGCCCAGACAGCCAGGAUGUUGGCUUAGAAGCAGCCAUCAUUUAAAGAAAGCGUAAUAGCUCACUGGUCGAGUCGGCCUGCGCGGAAGAUGUAACGGGGCUAAACCAUGCACCGAAGCUGCGGCAGCGACACUAUGUGUUGUUGGGUAGGGGAGCGUUCUGUAAGCCUGUGAAGGUGUGUCGUGAGGCAUGCUGGAGGUAUCAGAAGUGCGAAUGCUGACAUAAGUAAC
rnacentral:rRNA from 1 species